GACGAACGCUGGCGGCGCGCCUAACACAUGCAAGUCGAGCGAGAACCAGUCCUUCGGGACUGGGGACAGCGGCGAACGGGUGAGUAACACGUGGGUAAUCUGCCCUCGGCACCGGAAUAGCCCGGGGAAACCCGGAUUAAUGCCGGAUGGCCUCUCUGCCCCUCGGGGCGGCGAGAAAAGGUAGCUUCGGCCUCCGGCCGAGGAUGAGCCCGCGGCCGAUUAGCUUGUUAGUGGGGUAACGGCUCACCAAGGCGACGAUCGGUAGCUGGUCUGAGAGGACGAUCAGCCACACUGGGACUGAGACACGGCCCAGACUCCUACGGGAGGCAGCAGUGGGGAAUCUUGCGCAAUGGGCGAAAGCCUGACGCAGCGACGCCGCGUGCGGGAAGAAGGCCUUCGGGUUGUAAACCGCUUUCAGGAGGGACGAAGCCACUCGGGUGAAUAGCCUAGAGGGUGACGGUACCUCCAGAAGAAGCCCCGGCUAACUACGUGCCAGCAGCCGCAGUAAAAC
rnacentral:rRNA from 1 species